rnacentral:tRNA from 1 species
GGGGAUAUAGCUCAGGUGGUAGAGUGCUUGCCUCACAUGCAUAAGGCACUGGGUUCAAUCCCCAGCAUCACAA